rnacentral:precursor_RNA from 1 species
UGUCCUCAAGUUCAAAAUGCUUGUAUGUGCCGUGACACACAAAUACAAACAUUUUAAACUUGAGGACAGA